CAGAGUUGCAAGACUCCCUAAACCAUUGUGAACCUACCUUCUACCGUUGCUUCGGCGGGCGGGCCCAGCGCCCCCCCGGCCCCCCGCGGACGCCCGCCGGAGGAUACCCAAACUCUUGACAUUAGUGGCCUCUCUGAGUAUUCUUUACUGAAUAAGUCA
rnacentral:misc_RNA from 1 species